rnacentral:rRNA from 1 species
AUUGAACGCUGGCGGCAGGCCUAACACAUGCAAGUCGAGCGAGCGGCGGACGGGUGAGUAAUGUAUGGGAAUCUGCCCGAUAGAGGGGGAUAACUACUGGAAACGGUGGCUAAUACCGCAUACAAUCGGAUGAGCCCAGAUGGGAUUAGCUAGUAGGUGGGGUAACGGCUCACCUAGGCGACGAUCCCUAGCUGGUCUUCGAGGAUGAUCAGCCACACUGGGACUGAGACACGGCCCAGACUCCUACGGGAGGCAGCAGUGGGGAAUAUUGCACAAUGGGCGCAAGCCUGAUGCAGCCAUGCCGCGUGUAUGAAGAAGGCCUUCGGGUUGUAAAGUACUUUCAGCGGGGAGGCGUUACCCGCAGAAGAAGCACCGGCUAACUCCGUGCCAGCAGCCGCGGUAAUUC